UACGUAGGGGGCGAGCGUUGUCCGAAGUUACUGGGCGUAAAGCGCGCGUAGGCGGGGGAUUAAGUGAGAGGUGAAAGGCUGGGGCUCAACCUCAUGCAGUGCCUCUCAUACUGGUUCUCUUGAGGGCGGUAGGGAGAAGUGGAAUGGCUGGUGUAGCGGUGAAAUGCGUAGAUAUCAGUCGGAACACCGGUGGCGAAGGCGGCUUCUUGGGCCGUUCCUGACGCUGAGGCGCGAAAGCUGGGGGGAGCGAACGGG
rnacentral:rRNA from 1 species